AUGGUGAUUAAGGAAUAAUGUCCAUGUGAUGUGCUGUGUGACCGCGACAGCUAGUGACUGCACCAAAAAGAUAUGUGCACGUUUAUCUUUCACCAACAGCUCCACCCAAUAUUAGUGUCACAUGCAGACGCUGGAGUCAACAGUCAACCCCUUCACAAGACUACCUACCAUGCUUACACACGGAAACAAACAGGGGGUGAAAGAAAAAAAUGUUCUCCAAGUCUCCAACCCCAAUCAUCAAAGUGCUCACUAUAAAUGGACAUGGAUCUCAGUACAAACAGCAAAGCACAGGACUACCUAAGCUUCUUUUCAGGACCAUGGAGCGCAAGCAGGAGCAGAAGAAGAGCUUCGGGGAAGAAGCAGCCAUGGCCAUGGAGGCCUCCUCCUCGGCGUUGAGGUCGCUGCUGCACAGCAUGGCCCAACGAUGCGCCAGCUACCUGGGUCUCGCGGCUCCCCUAGCAUCCGACUACUCCCGGUCCCUUGGCGCUGGCGGCGAUGACCUGAAACCAACCGGCGCUGCCGAUGGCGUUGUGCCCCCGCCGGAGGAGGAGUUCACGGUCGUCCAGGUGCAGUCGAGAUCGAUGGUGUUUCAGAACAACCGCAAAAUAGAUCAAGGAGUCGGUGGACGUGGUGGGAUCAAAUAUUGAUUAACCGACACAGCUUCCUUGUAGGCUCCUCAUGUGCCUCUACCUCCAGUAAUCAUCGAUGUUUGGGUCUGAAUUAUCCACCAGCUAGUAUAUAUAUUUUCCAAAUAAUUUCUACUGUUGUCACCUUGGUUCAAUACGGUAUAAAAGCCGUCUUUUAUUUAUGGGAAACGUUUCGCUUCAGUGCGCCGGCCGAAUGCUCGGCCGGUCGCUUUCCCAGCGGCGCUCACGGGGCACACAGACAGCUCAUCCCACCCACCAUUUUAUUUUUUUCCACACAUCCUGAAGCUUAUCCGCGCACUUCUCUUCUCCCCUACCUCGCAUCUCUCCUCCCAAAUUCCAAUCCUCCAUGAAAUUCCUCCCUCUUUUUUCCUUUGACUCCACGCCGGCGAGCAAGCCACUCCGGUUAGCCAGCACCACCCCUUGAACCUUCCCCUUAGUCCCCCACGAUCCAUGGUCACAGACGGUGGGUCUCUGGAACUGGCGAUGUGCUGUGCUGCAAGGGGGCAGGUUCCCUUGCUGGAACCAUCGCCGUGCUGGUAGCUCUACGGCCGCCGUGCUGGAAUCCGGCCACACCCGUGCUGGAAUCGGUGAAGAAAAUUGCUGGAACCGGCUAUUCUAUUUGUUACAACCGAUGAUUCAAGACGUUGCAUCCAUGGUGGUGGAGAAGAGGGCGAGCGCGGGAGACCAACGCGAGCGCGGAGGCGUGGGCGAGGACGUAGGUGCGGCCGCGCCUCGCCGGAGCGCACACACGCAGGGCUGGGGCAGAGACAUCCCGGAUCGAAAUAUGAAACUGAAGAAGAGGGGGGAAGAAGAAGAUGACGUGGGGGUACGAAUCGAACGGUUGUUAGGUGCUGGAUCGCACGGCUGGGCAGCGACAGGCCCAAAUUUGGGCCGGUGCGCCGGCGCCUAUCAGGCCCCUUUAUUUAUACUGAAAUGUUUAGUAAAAUUUGUGCAACUUGCCUUGUGCGAUUUUAAAAGGAAUGAAAUCCUAGUUUCCACAGGAAAUUA